rnacentral:rRNA from 1 species
UACGUAGGGGGCAAGCGUUGUCCGGAAUCAUUGGGCGUAAAGAGCGUGUAGGCGGCCAGAAAAGUCCGCUGUGAAAACUCGAGGCUCAACUUCGAGCUGUCGGUGGAAACUUUCUGGCUAGAGUCCGGAAGAGGAGAAUGGAAUUCCUGGUGUAGCGGUGAAAUGCGCAGAUAUCGGAAGGAACACCAGUGGCGAAGGCGACUUCCUGGCCUGCAACUGACACUGAGGCACGAAAGCGUGGGGAGCAAACAGG